CGCAACCCUUGUCUUUAGUUGCCAUCAUUCAGUUGGGCACUCUAAGAGACUGCGGUGUCAAACCGGAGGAAGUGGGGAUGACGUCAAGUCCUCAUGGCCUUUAUGACCAGGGCUACACACGUACUACAAUGGCCGGUACAAAGGGCAGCCACUUAGCGAUAAGGAGCCAAUCCCGUAAAGCCGGUCUCAGUCCGGAUUGGAGUCUGCAACUCGACUCCAUGAAGCUGGAAUCGCUAGUAAUCGCAGAUCAGCACGCUGCGGUCGAAUACGUUCCCGGGCCUU
rnacentral:rRNA from 1 species